rnacentral:rRNA from 1 species
GACGAACGCUGGCGGCGUGCUUAACACAUGCAAGUCGAGCGGUAAGGCCCUUUCGGGGGUACACGAGCGGCGAACGGGUGAGUAACACGUGGGUGACCUGCCCUCAGCUCUGGGAUAAGCCUGGGAAACUGGGUCUAAUACUGGAUAUGACUCCACGGUGCAUGUCGUGGGGUGGAAAGCCUUGUGCGGCUGAGGAUGGGCCCGCGGCCUACCAGCUUGUUGGUGGGGUGAUGGCCUACCAAGGCGACGACGGGUAGCCGGCCUGAGAGGGCGACCGGCCACACUGGGACUGAGACACGGCCCAGACUCCUACGGGAGGCAGCAGUGGGGAAUCUUGCGCAAUGGGCGAAAGCCUGACGCAGCGACGCCGCGUGAGGGAUGACGGCCUGUGU